CCUACGGGAGGCAGCAGUAAGGAAUAUUGGUCAAUGGACGCAAGUCUGAACCAGCCAUGCCGCGUGAAGGAUGAAGGCCCUCUGGGUUGUAAACUUCUUUUACAGGGGACGAAAAACGGGCAUUCUUGCUCACUUGACGGUACCCUGGGAAUAAGCACCGGCUAACUCCGUGCCAGCAGCCGCGGUAAUACGGAGGGUGCAAGCGUUAUCCGGAUUCACUGGGUUUAAAGGGUGCGUAGGUGGGUCUGUAAGUCAGUGGUGAAAUCUCCGAGCUUAACUCGGAAACUGCCAUUGAUACUAUAGGUCUUGAAUUUUCUGGAGGACAGCGGAAUAUGUCAUGUAGCGGUGAAAUGCUUAGAUAUGACAUAGAACACCGAUUGCGAAGGCAGCUGUCUACGGGGAUAUUGACACUGAGGCACGAAAAGCGUGGGGAUCAAACAGGAUUAGAUACCCUGGUAGUCCACGCCCUAAACGAUGGAUACUCGACAUUUGUGAUACACAAUAAGUGUCUGAGNGAAGANAUAAGUAUCCACCGCGGAAGGUAACGACCGCGAGUUAGUAAGUUACGAAAGAAGUUAGAGGCGNGAGAGNGCGACGGACGACGACGAGGGAGGAGG
rnacentral:rRNA from 1 species